UUUGUUAGGAUCCUUUUAUUUUUCCUUUUAUUUUUUGUGCUUUCCUUUUAUUUUCUGUGUGUUUAUUAAGUCCAUUUAGUUUAGCUAAAGUCGGAACUCUAUAAAUAGGGAUGUAACUACUUCUUUUCGAUCAUCUAUGAAAAAUACUAUUUUUGUCUUGUGACAAACCCUAAGAGGCCGAUCCCCUCGAAGCGAUCAAGGUGGGCCGAUCUCCUCGAAGCGAUCAAGGAGGCCGAUCCCCUCGAAGUGAUCAUCCCCUUUCUCUUCUUCUUUUUAACGAUAAGACUUUAGGGUCUUAUCAUUUGGUAUCAGAGCGACGAUCCUUGGCGUUCUCACUACAACGAAGCUAUCAAAAAAAAAAAAAAAAAAAGAAACGAAAGAAAGAAAGAAAGAAAGAAAGAAAGAAAGAGAGAAGAAGAAGCAGCAACCGCACCAUGCACCCCUACUUCCCCUGCUUCCGGCCAGCCCACCC
rnacentral:lncRNA from 1 species